AACGAACGCUGGCGGCAGGCCUAACACAUGCAAGUCGAGCGAGGACUUCGGUCCUAGCGGCGGACGGGUGGGUAACGCGUGGGAACGUGCCCUUUGCUUCGGAAUACCCCUGGGAAACUGGGAUUAAUACCGGAUGAGCCCUUUGGGGGAAAGAUUUAUCGGCGCAGGAUCGGCCCGCGUUGGAUUAGGUAGUUGGUGGGGUAAUGGCCUACCAAGCCGACGAUCCAUAGCUGGUUUGAGAGGAUGAUCAGCCACACUGGGACUGAGACACGGCCCAGACUCCUACGCGAGGCAGCAGUGGGGAAUCUUAGACAAGGGGGGAAACCCUGAUCUAGCCAUGCCGGGUGAGCGAUGAAGGCCUUAGGGUUGUAAAGCUCUUUCAGCUGGGAAGAUAAUGACGGUACCAGCAGAAGAAGCCCCGGCUAACUCCGUG
rnacentral:rRNA from 1 species